rnacentral:rRNA from 1 species
GAGUUUGAUCUUGGCUCAGAUUGAACGCUGGCGGCAUGCCUUACACAUGCAAGUCGAACGGCAGCACGGGAGCUUGCUCCUGGUGGCGAGUGGCGAACGGGUGAGUAAUGCAUCGGAACGUAUCCUGGAGUGGGGGAUAACGUAGCGAGAGUUACGCUAAUACCGCAUAUUCUGUGAGCAGGAAAGCGGGGGACCUUCGGGCCUCGCGCUCUUGGAGCGGCCGAUGUCGGAUUAGCUAGUUGGUGAGGUAAAGGCUCACCAAGGCGACGAUCCGUAGCAGGUCUGAGAGGAUGAUCUGCCACACUGGAACUGAGACACGGUCCAGACUCCUACGGGAGGCAGCAGUGGGGAAUUUUGGACAAUGGGGGCAACCCUGAUCCAGCCAUGCCGCGUGAGUGAAGAAGGCCUCGGUUG